AAUAUAAGAAUCUUCACCCUGGGACAGUUGGGGAACCGAUCAUCAUGAUGCAAAGGCCUCAAUCUGUGAAUACAAAGCAGGUUCCAGGUACAAGCAUAAGCUCUUCUCCUCCUGGAACAGCUGCCAGUUGGUAUCCUACUAAUAGUGUGAAGUCCAAUGGCUUGAUGCCUUACAUUCCCACCACGAGAAGCCCCAGUCCGAACAAUCUUAAUUCAAAUAAAAUGUUGCAUCAACUUCAUUUUCAACAACAGCAAUACUUUGUGCCAGGCAGUAGCGCAGGGGAUUCUCCUGGAAUCAGCAGAGGAAAUGGCUUAUGUAAUAGAACCGGUUCAUCAUCUACACUUGCUGCCGCUUCAUCUCUUGGACUCUUCUGGGUUGGGUGGCUCAGCUGGUGUAGAUGAUGAACCGGUUCUAUUACAUCUCAGUGGCUCAGUUAGAUUACGCCAGCGUAGACUGGAGUUUGGAUCGAGGAUUGUCCUCUACAAGGCUUAGUGGAAUGUGGAUGGGCCCAGGUUAUUUAAAAAAUGGCACCCAAAUACAUUCAAGUAGUGCUAGCUUGGGUGCUAAGUU
rnacentral:misc_RNA from 1 species